GUGAGGAAUUUUCCGCAAUGGGCGAAAGCCUGACGGAGCAAUGCCGCGUGAAGGAUGAAGGCCUAUGGGUUGUAAACUUCUUUUCUCAGAAAAGAAUUAUGACGGUAUCUGAGGAAUAAGCAUCGGCUAACUCUGUGCCAGCAGCCGCGGUAAGACAGAGGAUGCAAGCGUUAUCCGGAAUGAUUGGGCGUAAAGCGUCUGUAGGUUGUUUAAAAAGUAUUCUGUCAAAGAUUAGGGCUUAACCCUAGAUAGGCAGAAUAAACUUUUAAGCUAGAGUGUGGUAGAGGCAGAGGGAAUUCCCGGUGGAGCGGUGAAAUGCGUAGAUAUCGGGAGGAACACCAAAGGCGAAGGCACUCUGCUGGGCCAAUACUAACACUGAGAGACGAAAGCGAGGGGAGCAAAUGGGAUUAGAACCCCGUGUAGUCC
rnacentral:rRNA from 1 species